rnacentral:rRNA from 1 species
UACGGAGAGUGCAAGCAUUAAUCGGAAUUAUUGGGCGUAAAGGGCGCGUAGGCGGCCAUAAAAGUCAGAUGUGAAAUUCCAAAGCUCAACUUUGGAGCUGCAUUUGAAACUCUGUGGCUUGAGGAUUGAUGGAGAAAACGGAAUUCCACGUGUAGCGGUGAAAUGCGUAGAUAUGUGGAAGAACACCUGUGGCGAAAGCGGUUUUCUAAUUAAUACCUGACGCUGAGGCGCGAGAGCAAGGGGAGCAAAC